rnacentral:misc_RNA from 1 species
CCAAUUGACAUGGACGUUCAACGUAAUGCAACUGUACCGUAACAAAGUAAAGUUACUUAUUCAUGUUAAUUUUUUAUAUAAUUAUCUAAAUUAAUGUCAUGAAAGUUGUUUGAUAAGGCGUUUUGUGAGGGUCAAAUUUUUAAAACUUAUUUUGUUUUGAUGAAAACUACUCAUUUGUAGUGUGGUAGGCUAUGAAUCAUUACUUUUAAAAGGGCUCUCUUGACUUCUAUCUGAUGACUAAUUUUUCACAUUCAGUCGUAAUAGCUUGAAUAAUUUUAAUAGCAACAAAUUUUUCCUUACCAGAAAACCUUUUUGUAAAAAAUAUACUUUCAAAUACAUUUUAAAAGAACUAUAAAUUUUAAAUGGUCAACUUUUUGAAGGAUAUCAAGUGACUACCUGUUUAAGUUACUUUUGAUUGGAGACUCAGGUGUUGGUAAAUCUUGCUUGCUGCUACGUUUUGCCGAUGACACAUACACAGAAAGUUACAUCAGUACCAUUGGUGUAGAUUUUAAAAUUAGAACAAUAGAUCUCGAUGGAAAAACCAUAAAGCUUCAGAUUUGGGACACGGCCGGCCAGGAGCGGUUCCGCACGAUCACAUCGAGCUACUACCGGGGCGCCCACGGCAUCAUUGUGGUGUACGACUGCACCGACCAGGAGUCGUUCAACAACCUCAAACAGUGGCUCGAGGAGAUUGAUCGCUACGCCUGUGAUAAUGUCAACAAACUGCUCGUCGGCAACAAGUGUGAUCAGACCAACAAAAAGGUCGUCGACUAUACACAGGCUAAGGAAUACGCCGACCAGCUGGGCAUUCCGUUCCUGGAGACGUCGGCGAAGAACGCGACCAAUGUUGAGCAGGCGUUCAUGACGAUGGCGGCCGAGAUCAAGAACCGCGUGGGUCCGCCCAGCUCGGCGGCCGACACCGCCAACAAGGUACGCAUCAACCAGGCCAGCUCCAGUCCCAUCGAGUCCACCAAGUCUGGCUGCUGUUGAGACCCUGUCCAUCUCCACACCAACCGUCGCCACAUUAUGUGGUUAGAACAAGUGCGUUCCUCCAGCUAUCCGAUAUCAGUCAAUUGACUAAACGGAGGGACUCAGAACUACAUCGGUUACAAGGCAUACACUAAUGGGAGAAGAAAUUUUUGUACAUAACUAUAAUAAUAUUCUGACAAAUUUUAUAUUGCUCUUGUCAGAAAAUUCAGUUGAAAACAUAAAUCAUACAAAAACAAACAGACAUUUGUAAUUCCUUGUGCAGGUUAUGAAAAGUGUUUAAUGUUCUUGUAUUACCAGAAGUGACAUAACUAAUUAUUAUGAAACGAUAUAAUUGCACUUAAUUGAAUUUUUAGCCUUGUAUCUUUCGAUUUAUAUAAAAAGGGAUUGAAGUGUGCUUGUUUGUUAUUAGGUUUCUUUUUACUUUCUUUCUCAAAAAAGUAUCUGUCAUUUGGAAAUGAGAAAUUCUGUUAUAUUUAUAUCUUGAUAGUUCUUGUAUUUAUUAGAGAUGGUCCCCGUUUGUUAUUUUUUAUUUAAUUAGCAACUCCGUGAGGAUAAGGUAUGAUUAUAUAAUGAGUAUAUAUAGUUAUUAUAUAAAUAUUAUAAAUAAACCAAUAUGUAAGUAAGAGAUUGUGAAUGUUAUGUUGAUACUGAAUUCUUCUUUAUAUAUAAUGCUAAUGAUCAUAGUUUGUGAUUCAAAUCGAUUGUUAUUUGCAAAAUUUACAAUUGAUUGGUGAGGUCAAUAAAUUUGCACGCUUUAAACAUACCGUAGCUUCUCUUUUGCAGCAAUUUCAUCAUCAUCAUUAUUGUAAUAACAUAGUUGAAACAUUCUCUGUCGCAAUUUCAUUUGAUAAUAAUUAAUAACGAUAAUAGCUGAAUAUUAUAAAUAUACAAUUUGGAAAAGUGAAUUAUUUUUUUAAACAUUCCAUUAGAGGCUAGUAAUUUUUUAAUUAUUUAAUGAUUUAUACAUACAUGCAUAUGUAAAUGUUGUGCGCAAUAAAGUAGCACUGGCAUUUAUGCCCAAA